GCCGGUGUGCUAAGGCUUCAAAAUCCGCCGCUGUAACAGGCGUGCCAGUUCGAGUCUGGCCACCGGCACCA
rnacentral:tRNA from 2 species